UCCCUGGUGGUCCAGUGGUUAGGACUUGGUGCUUUCACUGCCGUGGCCCGAGUUCAAUCCCUGGUUGGGGAA
rnacentral:tRNA from 1 species